rnacentral:lncRNA from 1 species
GUAGUAGUUUUUGUUGAUGGUGGUAGAAGCUUUUGUUACUUGCGGUAGCGGUAGUAGUUUUUGUUGCUGAUGACAAUAUCUUUUGUGACUUCGUCAGAGGUCAUUGGAAAUCUCACUGUAGUAACUUUUGUGGCUGGGGGUAGUAGCUUUUAUAGUUGGUGAUAGUAGCUUUUUUUGUUGGUGACAGUAACUUUUGUUCUGCUUGGUAGUAGUUUUUGUUGCUGAUGACAAUAUCUUUUGUGACUUCGUCAGAGGUCAUUGGAAAUCUCACUGUAGUAACUUUUGUGGCUGGGGGUAGUAGCUUUUAUAGUUGGUGAUAGUAGCUUUUUUUGUUGGUGACAGUAACUUUUGUUCUGCUUGGUAGUAGUUUUUCAUAUGCUCGGUAGUAUCUUUUAUAAGUGGUGAUAGUAGCUUUUGUUCUAUCUUGUAGUAGUUUUUCAUUUGCUCGGUAAUAUCUUUAAUAGCUGGUUAUAGUAGCUUUCCAUAUGCUCGGUAGUAUCUUUUAUAGCUGGUGACAAUAUCUUUUGUGACCUCGCCGGAGGUCGUCGAAAUCUCAAUAUAGUAGCUUUUGUAGCUGGUAGUAGUAGCUUUUGUUAUGUUCAGUAGUAUUUUUUGUUGCUGGCAAUAGUAUCUUUUGUGACCUCGCCGGAGGUUGCCGGAAAUCACACCAUAAUAGCUUUUAUAGCCGGUGGUAGUAGCUUUUAUAGCCUGUGGUAGUAGCUUUUGUUGCUGGUGACAGUAUCUUUUGCAAUCGUUAGUAACAUUGUCGGAGGUCGGCAGGAAACUUUGUCGGCGGUUAGCCGGAAACUUUGUCGGAGAUCGGCCGAAGACCCGCCGGAGGUUGGCCAGAGAUCUCGCUUGAGGUUGGCCGGAGAUGAUAGUAGGUGUUGACUUUUUACAUUAGUGGCAUUUUUGUAAAUAUAAAAAAGAAAAUCUUUUUUUUUGUUGGAUGGCAGUCUGUAAUUAUGUUGAACUUCAAUACCUAAUACAAAACCUUAUUUUGGCUUGGGUGGACUUAUGUGAGUAAACAUGUUGGGGUGGACCUAUGUGAGAAAAAAUGUAUCAAAAUGGACUUAUAUGUAAUUAGCUCUAAAUAUUAAUGGCGUCGUUAUAGUAAUACACAAAAGUUGACAAUAUAAGAAUAUGGAAAUCCAAACCCUUUCCUUAAUUCAUGUGGAAUGUAGGACUUUUUAAGGUAGAAUAUCAUAUCGUUUGAAAAAUGAUCUAAUAAGCCAAUUUCAAGUUAUUUUGCAAAGAGUGUAAAUAAAAAUUUACUUUGGAAAUGAAGAUCUGUUAGUUGUCUCAUUUCGUUACUUCUUCGUUCUUUUAUAUUUUUGUGUUUGAAAUGUAUAUAUAUUUCUAAAUAUUCUAAGUGUUGAGAAUAUUAAAAGAUAAGAUCAGCAAGAGUUAUCAUAUUUAUGACAUUUACGAACCAUGUCACUCUAGUAGCAUUAGCUAUGUUAAAUGUGGAUGUGCAUGGACAAAAAGAAAUUUUAUUAUAUAUUAUUGUUGUGGUAUUUCUUAAUACAUGAAGUGAUGCUAAAAGAAAACACGAUUACUAAGUUAGAAGACUGUCAUAUGUGACGAGAAAUUCAAACUUCAAAUGACAAAUAGACAACUAUUAAAUUAGACAACAGUACCAAACUGUUAAGAUGUAGAAAAAAUAGCCAAAAUACCCUCUAAAGUUGGCCAUAAUUGUCAUUUACACCC